AUACGGAGGGUGCAAGCGUUAUUCGGAAUCACUGGGCGUAAAGGACGCGUAGGCGGGUUGGCAAGUCAGAUGUGAAAUCCUACAGCUUAACUGUAGAACUGCAUUUGAAACUGCUAACCUAGAGUAUGGGAGGGGGAGAUGGAGUUAGUGGUGUAGGGGUAAAAUCCGCAGAUAUCACUAGGAAUACCGAAAGCGAAGGCGAUCUCCUGGAACAUAACUGACGCUAAGGCGUGAAAGCGUGGGGAGCAAACAGGAUUAGAAACCCCAGUAGUCC
rnacentral:rRNA from 1 species